UACGGAAGGCAGCAGUGGGGAAUAUUGCACAAUGGGCGCAAGCCUGAUGCAGCCAUGCCGCGUGUAUGAAAAAGGCCUUCGGGUUGUAAAGUACUUUCAGUCGUGAGGAAGGUGUUAAGGUUAAUAACCUUAGCAAUUGACGUUAGCGACAGAAGAAGCACCGGCUAACUCCGUGCCAGCAGCCGCGGUAAUACGGAGGGUGCGAGCGUUAAUCGGAAUUGCUGGGCGUAAAGGGCACGCAGGCGGUUAAUUAAGUUGGAUGUGAAAUCCCCGGGCUUAACCUGGGAAUGGCAUUCAAGACUGGUUAGCUAGAGUCUUGUAGAGGGGGUAGAAUUCCAUGUGUAGCGGUGAAAUGCGUAGAGAUGUGGAGGAAUACCGGUGGCGAAGGCGGCCCCUGGGACAAAGACUGACGCUCAUGUGCGAAAGCGUGGGGAGCAAACAGGAUUAGAUACC
rnacentral:rRNA from 1 species